GAUGAACGCUGGCGGCGUGCUUAACACAUGCAAGUCGAACGGUGAAACAGGAGCUUGCUCCUGUGGAUCAGUGGCGAACGGGUGAGUAACACGUGAGCAAUCUGCCCUGGACUCUGGGAUAAGCGUUGGAAACGACGUCUAAUACCGGAUUCGAGGCGUGGGGGCAUCCCUAACGCCUGGAAAGAACUUCGGUCCAGGAUGAGCUCGCGGCCUAUCAGGUAGUUGGUGAGGUAACGGCUCACCAAGCCGACGACGGGUAGCCGGCCUGAGAGGGUGAACGGCCACACUGGGACAGAGACACGGGACAGACUCCUACGGGAGGCAGCAGUGGGGAAUAUUGCACAAUGGGCGCAAGGCUGAUGCAGCAACGCCGCGUGAGGGACGACGGCCUUCGGGUUGUAAACCUCUUUUAGCAGGGAAGAAGCGAAAGUGACGGUACGUGCAGAAAAAGCACCGGCUAACUACGUGCCAGCCGCCGCAGUAAGAC
rnacentral:rRNA from 1 species